UUCGAUCUUCAGACGAGCAAG
rnacentral:piRNA from 1 species